rnacentral:misc_RNA from 1 species
GAUGAAGAACGCAGCGAAAUGCGAUAAGUAAUGUGAAUUGCAGAAUUCAGUGAAUCAUCGAAUCUUUGAACGCACAUUGCGCCCCCUGGUAUUCCGGGGGGCAUGCCUGUUCGAGCGUCAUUUCACCACUCAAGCCUCGCUUGGCAUUGGGCAUCGCGGUCCGCCGCGCGCCUCAAAUCGACCGGCUGGGUCUUCUGUCCCCUAAGCGUUGUGGAAACUAUUCGCUAAAGGGUGUUCGGGAGGCUACGCCGUAAAACAACCCCAUUUCUAAGGUUGACCUCGGAUCAGGUAGGGAUACCCGCUGAACUUAAGCAUAUCAAUAAGCGGAGGA